GACGAACGCUGGCGGCGUGGAUAAGACAUGCAAGUCGAACGGGACAGACCGAGUAGCAAUAUUUGGAAUGUUCAGUGGCGAACGGGUGCGUAACACGUGGAUAACAUUCCGGAAAGCGGGGAAUAGCCCAGGGAAACUUGGAUUAAUACCGCAUGUGGCCGCAAGGCUAAAGACGGGGACCGCAAGGCCUGUCACUUUCCGAUUGGUCCGCGGCCUAUCAGCUAGUCGGCGGGGUAAUGGCCCACCAAGGCUACGACGGGUAGCUGGUCUUAGAGGACGACCAGCCACACUGGAACUGAGACACGGUCCAGACACCUACGGGUGGCAGCAGUCGAGAAUCUUUCACAAUGGGGGCAACCCUGAUGGAGCGACGCCGCGUGGAGGAUAAGGUCUUCGGAUUGUAAACUCCUGUCAUGCGAGAACAAGGUACUCAGGCUAAUAACCUGAUUGUUUGGUGGUACCGCAAGAGGAAGAGACGGCUAACUCUGUGCCAGCCGCCGCCGUAAGAC
rnacentral:rRNA from 1 species